rnacentral:rRNA from 1 species
CUACCAUGGCUUUUACGGGUAACGGAGGAUUAGGGUUCGAUUCCGGAGAGGGAGCCUGAGAAACGGCUACCACAUCUAAGGGAGGCAGCAGGCGCGUAAAUUACCCAAUGCUAAUUCAGCGAGGUAGUGACAAGAAAUAACGGGUCGGGGCAUAUACCCUGGGACUGAAAUGAAGUGAAUUUACACCCCUUGGUAGAGCAACAAUUGGAGGGCAAGUCUGGUGCCAGCAGCCGCGGUAAUUCCAGCUCCAAUAGCGUAUAUUAAAGUUGUUGCAGUUAAAAAGCUCGUAGUUGGAUUUCUGGUGGCGAGAUACCAUACGCCCGCGCGUUUUUGGUAGCUCUCCACCAUCCUUCUGUUAACCUAGAUUAGACUUUACUGGCUGUUUAGGAGCCCAGAUAUUUUACCUUGAGAAAAUUAGAGUGUUUCAGGCAGGCUUGCGCCCGGAUACAUUAGCAUGGAAUAAUGGAAUAGGACUUUUACCUCUUCUGUUGGUCUAAGGGGUCGAAGUAAUGAUUAAUAGGGAUAGUUGGGGGCAUUAGUACUUAACUGUCAGAGGUGAAAUUCUUGGAUUUGUUAAAGACUAAACUUAUGCGAAAGCAUUUGCCAAGGAUGUUUUCAUUAAUCAA